rnacentral:ribozyme from 1 species
CUGAAAAGGAAAGAGAAGAAGAAGAAAAAAAAAACAGAGAGAAGAAAACUAUACAGUCUGUCUGACAGUAUCUGUUUGUCUGUUUC